GUGCUCAAUUCAGCAGUACAUAUUCUAAAAUUAGAAUAACACAGAGAUGAUUAUUAGCAUAGCCCCUGCAAAAGGAUAAUGACAUGCAAGUUUGCGAAGCAUCUGAUUUUUUU
ensembl:snRNA U6 U6 spliceosomal RNA